AGAGUUUGAUCAUGGCUCAGGAUGAACGCUGGCGGCGUGCCUAACACAUGCAAGUCGAGCGAAGCACUUUACUUUGAUUCUUCGGAUGAAGAGUUUUGUGACUGAGCGGCGGACGGGUGAGUAACGCGUGGGUAACCUGCCUCAUACAGGGGGAUAACAGUUAGAAAUGACUGCUAAUACCGCAUAAGACCACAGCACCGCAUGGUGCAGGGGUAAAAACUCCUGUGGUAUGAGAUGGACCCACGUCUGAUUAGCUAGUUGGUAAGGUAACGGCUUACCAAGGCAACGAUCAGUAGCCGACCUGAGAGGGUGACCGG
rnacentral:rRNA from 1 species